CACACACACACACACACACACAAUUUACGUUACUGUUCUGACACAGACCUACUUUGAUUAUUAAACAAUCUAACAGAUAUACACACGACACGGAUACACAAUUAAUUACCUGCAGUGCUCCAGCAGAGCUUCGAGCUUCUUCAUUUUCCCCAGCUCAGUAGCGGUUGGCAUGGCGACGUUGGUUGUGUGCAGGGCCAGUGCGUCUCUCAGAGGUUCAGCAUUACGCUGAACACGCUUGAUCAUUUCCAGGGUACUAUUCCAUCUGGUCGACACUUCCUGUGCGAGUGGCUCUUUCUUCUGGUGAUAUUUGACUUGUUGCAGCUCGAGCUCCGCUUGGUUUGCUGGGCUGUGCUUAAAGUGUCCCACAACUUUUCUGCAUUUUGCCAAUGCACUGUCAAACGCGCUGUUGUUUAGAGCAACCAUAACUCCUCAGUGAAGACUGUGUGCGAUGCACGGCAUGUGCUCAAAAGGGAGCCGCCUGGCCGCUGCAAUCAUGUUCCGUGCACUAUCUGUGGUCAGUGAGACAACUUUGUGUUCGAUGUCCCACUCCCUAGCUACUUGCAUAAAGUGCUCUGCAACAGCAUCAGCGAAGUGCCUCUCUUCUGUCUUCAUGACAGUCAAAGCAUGCGACUGAAGUUCCCACUGUCGGUCAAAGUAAUGGGCUGUUACCCCGAGGUAGUUUAGAUUACUGACGGACGUCCAGUAAUCACCAGUGAGCGCGACUGCUUCUGUCGUCUCCAACGCCUGCUGUACCUUAGCCUUCUCCGUUUCGUGCAAAUUCUGUACGUGGCUUGUAAUGGUGGCUCUCGAAGGCAAUUGGUAGGUCGUGUCAUUGGAUGCGAUGCGAAUUAUAUCAACCAGACCCUCGUCCUCAACAACGUUAACAGGCCUACAUGCAGUGGCCAGCCAUUUAGCAAUGGCUGCAGUAAGUUUGUUCUUAGUUGUGGCAUCCAUGGGCUUCUGUCUGAAGUUAUCCAUUGUUGUCUGGCUUUCACGAGGGGGCAGGGAAAGAGAAUUUGCAUUGGCCGUGUGCUUGGCCACCAAGUGGUAUUUCAGACUGGACGUGCUGCGAUGAUAGCUCAGUUCACAACGGCAAAUCACACAUAUUACUUUGUUCUUGUCAAUGGAACCAUUUGGCAACUUUUUAAAUAUAAACUUUCCAUUAAUAAUUGUUUUGGCGUCCAUGUCUGACUUUACAUUAGCUUUUGGCUGUGGCUUGCCCCAACCGGUUUGUGCGGCGUGCUUGAUGUUUUGUUUCCGGUGUAGCUAGAUCCGGUAUGGUGUAGUUUUUCUAACGUGACUAGUUAUUGCUAGAAAGCAGGUGAAUAAUCGACGUUUGCCAACGCAAAAAUAAAUAAAUAUAUAAAUAUAUAUUUUGCGUUAAUCGUGCGUUAAAAAAUUUAACGCCGUUAAUAUUGGUUUGAGUUAACGCCGUUAAUAACGAGUUUAACUGACGGCUCUAGUGAUAACGCUUAGUUCAAUCAACUCUGAGUCAUGGUAAAUCUGAGUGAAGCUCGUGCAUGAGGAUAUAAAAAGCCCUCAUCAAUGGAACACAGAUAACAUGAUUCACCAUGGCAACAAGUACUAACAAGCCUCGAUCCUCCUACUUCUCCCCAGCGGAGUUGCAAAUCUUAAUGACUGCAUAUGCAGAAAGCGAGCAUAUCUUAUUACUAAAAAGCAAUACUAUGGCAGCAGCCAAAAAGCGGGAGCUCGCGUGGGAAAAAAUAGCUGACCGAGUCAAUGCGUGCGUGCAACCCAACAGGCCCCAAACGGACUUGGCAGCAACUAAAAAUGAAAUAUAAAAAUGCAGUUCAAACAGCAAAUAGAAAAAAGGCAGAGGCACGCAAAACAGGUGGCGGUCCACCACCACCACCUCUCACAGAGGCUGAAGAGAUGGCCCUCAGAGAUGGCCCCCCAGAGAUGCUGAGGGCAUCUCUGGGGGGAGCUCAGCCACGCCCCAGGACACAGGGGCCUACAUAAGAGGUAAGUUAUUCAAAUGAAUGGCAUGUACAUUAAUCCUUUUUCUAGUGUUCAGUAAUGGCCACCCAUUCAUCUUAGAAACCACUUGCCGCACUGAUUUUUUUUCUUGUAGCAGUAGGCUACAGUUCUUUGUAAUUGGCUGCUGUUGCUUUCAGAUAUCAAUCUAUUUUAAGGGGACUCAGUUUGAACAAUUUUGAUGGGACCUGCACACUAUUGUAAAAAAAAAAAAAUAGGUAAUUAGGUGGGGCACUUUUCUGGGUAAUCAUCAACUGUCUAAUCCUAAUCUUCUAGCAGUUACUGAUGAUGGUGUAAUCUGUCUCGUGGAGCCUUCUGCCAUAACACACCUCCAUGCUGUUGUAAGUACUCUUAAUAUUCCACAGAUUUGUCAUAAUGGGUAGAAUAUAACAAACAUUCUGUUUCAUUACAGGAGGAUGAUGAAGACACCUUAUCAGCUGCCACAGAGAGGGAAGAUGCAGAGAGGCCUGUUGAGGUUUACACCUUCUUUUUUUUUAAUAACUUUGGUUUCAGUUAAUUGUUCCACAAUACAACUUGCAACUUAUUUCUCUCUAACAGAGCAAUGCCGGAAGUUACAGUGAGGA